GGAGAAGUGAUUGAAGAAAAGGUCACUGGUGUGAUGGGCGUCAGGUGGAGCUUGAAGUAAGAGGCCGAUUCAGGCCUUCUCCUGGAGACCCUCCAGCUCACUCAGCCUUGGGCCAGCAGAGAUUUACAGGAUCAUCAUUACCUGACUAUGACCAGACCUCAAGAAUGAAGGACCUGACACGGAGAAAUUUGCAACAACUAACCACACCCAUCUGUCACCUUUUGCUUUUAAAGGGACUUCCUGAAAGCUUUCGGUCAUUCUGAAGUUAAGUGAAGACAACAACAACAGCUGCAGCCUUUGUUGAGGUCCAGACUGCCAGCCGCUGAGCAGGCCCCAGCCACGCACUGCAUUCUGUGACUGUUCUUUCUCCACUGAACCUAUGCAAGCUCCAUUUACACAUCAGCAGUUGUAGCCCACUUUAUCCAGCAUUGUUUUAUAUAUAUAUAUAUAAAGUUGGAGGUCUAUGGAGUUUUUAUAAAGCAAGUCACAUUUUAGAUGCACUGCUGCUGCUAAGUCGCUUCAGUCGUGUCCGACUCUUUGC
ensembl:lncRNA